rnacentral:rRNA from 1 species
GACGAACGCUGGCGGCGUGCCUAAUACAUGCAAGUCGAGCGCUGAGGGUUGGUACUUGUACCUACUGCGUGAGCAGCAAACGGGUGAGUAACGCGUGGGGAAUCUGCCUUUGAGAGGGGGACAACAUCUGGAAACGAAUGCUAAUACCGCAUAAAAACUUUAACCACAAGUUUUAAGUGUGAAAGACGCAUUUGCAUCACUCAAAGAUGAUCUCGCGUUGGAUUAGCUAGUUGGUGAGGUAAAGGAUCACCAAGGCGAUGAUAGAGAGCCGGACUGAGAGGGUGGUUGGCCCAACUGGGACUGAGACCCGGCCCAAACUCCUUCGGGAAGGAGCCAGAGGGAAACUUCGGGCAAGGGCGGAAGGCUUAACGAGCAACGCCGCGGGAGGGAAUAAGGGUUUCGGGUCGGAAAACUCUGUUUGUAGGGAAGAAAGUUGUGGGGAGUGGAAAGCUCAUCAAGUGACGGUAACUACCCAGAAAGCGACGGCUAACUACGUG